rnacentral:rRNA from 1 species
UACAGAGGUCUCAACCGUUGUUCGGAUUUAUUGGGCGUAAAGGGUGCGUAGGUGGUCGUGUAAGUCGGGUGUGAAAUCCUAGGGCUCAACCCUGGAACUGCACUCGAUACUGCACGGCUUGAGCGCUGGAAAGGAGACUGGAAUUUACGGUGUAGCAGUGAAAUGCGUAGAUAUCGUAAGGAAGACCAGUGGCGAAAGCGAGUCUCUGGACAGAUGCUGACACUGAGGCACGAAGGCCAGGGGAGCAAACGGG